ensembl:lncRNA
GGCCUGGCAUGCUGCAGUCCAUGGGUCUCAAAGAGUCGAACACAACUGAGUGACUGAACAACAGCAACGAUUAAAACAUAAAUAAAAACAAGUCUGUAAAAUGCUAUAGAAACCCCUGUCCAGAAGAGCCAUUUGGGUUGUCAGCUAAUUGUAUCCCAAGCUACUGCUCUGUUGAACAUCAUCUGGGACUUCAGUUCAAGGGUUUGUUUGUUUUCACGCUGUACUCCUGCUUCCUCCAAGCCACAGACAACAGGAGCGUUGCUUCCAGAAAAUGCAAGAUCGCAGUCUGUAGCAGAGAGCUUGGUUCAAUUCCCCAUUCUUGGCCUUACCCCAAAGAUAAGGAAGAAAAGCUGCCCCUUCCGCCCCGAAUCCUCCCUGAAGGACCAGCCUCGGCUGGGAGAAUCAGAUCUGGUAACUUCUGGUCCCAAGCGUGUUCCCUUGGCCACUGCUGCAGUGAGAGUGAGGCCAGUAAGGGUGGAUUUGGAAUCUGGGAGCCGUCCGUUCAGUUUUGGAUCCUAGGAAGGAGUCGAUGAUCCCUACCGAGGCGCUUUCCAUGGUCCACCAGAAAAGGGCUUCCCUGAAAGCAGGUUUGUCUUCUCCUUGGGGCCAGCCCCAAAGAGAUGCUUUUGAUGAUUCCCUGGGACUCCUCUCUCUCUCAGUGCUAUCAGCUCCCAAGAAUUCUCACGGGAGUCUGUGGCUAAUGUCACGCGGACCUGAGACGCACUCCAUCGGGAGCCAUGUCGCUCUGGGUGUGUCGCUGCCAGAAACAGCUCCCGGGGACACAGUGCUUGGCAGCUUGUGCUGCCCUCGGCCCCGUGUGCGGUCGGGGGCAACAUGUCUGUCACCGUGAAGGGCUCUCUCAGCAACCCCGGGACCUCUCCACCAGGCUCCGGGAAGGUGUCUGCCUGAGAUUCAGCUCUUGUCGAGUGUGACCUGAGGCCUUGGGUGCUGGCAGAGGUAACAUCAAUGAGAAGGAUGGAGUCAGUCAUUAACACAUACUUGUGGACUGGCCAGACCAUAAGAUGACUUGACUGUCUCUGGGGCAUCCGUCACUGGCUAGAGCUGGUUUGCAUGGUUUAUGAGAUCCCCCAGUCAAGUGUCCAGGAGUAUUUACACCACAGAAAUGGGCAAACGCUGUGAAUCAAGCCCCCCCAACCCCGGCCCACUUCACCUGCCCGUCACUGAGACCCCAUGGUGGCAGCACGGUGUGCUGGGGAAUGCAAGGGCGCAGGUCUGCUGUUCCCGGUUCUGGCAGUGUGGGGUCGUGAGGGUUUGGCGGGUGAGAUCUGAUCUGUGAAACACCCAGGUAAUAACAGGCCUCCGGUUUCUUUCCUCAGCAUCAGCGUCUCCUUAAGCCUGCUUCCUGAAGGUGUUAAGUUCGGGAUCAGAGGUGGGAAGACAGUGCCGUCCGUCUUUCAUCUCUGAGUUUCGGGCGCCCUGCGGCCCCACUGUGAAUUAACAUGCCUUUGUUUGUCUUUGCUCUUUGGCCUCAAGUGGAUAACAAAACAUCUUCAUGAGACCGUCCACUGGGAAGGAAUUUCCUACACUGUGUUAGAAUCAGUUAGCCCUCAACCACUGAUAGAGGUAUAUAGUUGUCAUGAAUUCUUUAAGAACUCUUGGGGUUCCUUGCUGCUGCUGCUGCUAAGUCGCUUCAGUCGUGUCUGACUCUGUAGGACCCCAUAGACAGAAGCCCACCAGGCUCCCCCGUCCCUGGGAUUCUCCAGGCAAGAACACUGGAGUGGGUUGCCAUUUCCUUCUCCAAUGCAUGAAAGUGAGAAAUGAAAGGGAAGUCGCUCAGUCGUGUCUGACUUAGCGACCCCAUGGACUGCAGCCCACCAGGCUCCUCCGUC